rfam:Puccinia graminis f. sp. tritici CRL 75-36-700-3 supercont2.58 genomic scaffold, whole genome shotgun sequence.
GCCCGGUUAGCUCAGUCGGUAGAGCAUUCGGCUUUUACAGCUCGUGCGCGAGUACUGACACCGAAAUGUCGGGGGUUCGAGCCCCCCAUUGGGCG